UUGGUAUUUGGCAUCCUUUUUUGGUUCAGGCAUGGCCUAAACUAGCUCAAGUCCUGAAGUGCUGCUGCCACAGGAGCAUGGCUCUGAGCCUGCACUAACAAGCUCUGCUUCCUGGAGACCCGUGAUGUGUCCUGACCAGAAGACAGUGCUCAGUGGAAAUUACAGCUUGGGCUAAUUCUAAUUUGAUGACCUCUGCACUUCUUCCUGAGGCCCACAGAAAGCCUGUCUGAAGAGUUUGUGAACAUGUUUCAAUGCACAAGUACUUCAGAUUUCCUCAGAGUAGGCAUCUGUACUCAUCAGACUGGCAUCGAUACCUGGCAGUCACUUGUGGUACAUAUGGUGCACCAUUUUACAGCUUCUGGAUUCCCACUGUAGGCAAACUGAAGCCAUCCUUACACUGUAGGGCAAUAAGGAAAGAAAGAAAAUGCUGUCAUCUGAUCACCAACUGUACUAGCAAUAGAAGGUAAUUGCCCACAGAAAAUUACUGUAAACCUAUGUUUGAAUUCUGGACAGGAAUAUGAAGAAAAUUUAAGUC